GGGCCCGCACAAGCGGUGGAGCAUGUGGUUUAAUUCGACGCAACGCGCAGAACCUUACCAGCCCUUGACAUGUCCAGGACCGGUCGCAGAGAUGUGACCUUCUCUUCGGAGCCUGGAGCACAGGUGCUGCAUGGCUGUCGUCAGCUCGUGUCGUGAGAUGUUGGGUUAAGUCCCGCAACGAGCGCAACCCCCGUCCUUAGUUGCUACCAUUUAGUUGAGCACUCUAAGGAGACUGCCGGUGAUAAGCCGCGAGGAAGGUGGGGAUGACGUCAAGUCCUCAUGGCCCUUACGGGCUGGGCUACACACGUGCUACAAUGGCGGUGACAAUGGGAUGCAAAGGCGCGAGCCCUAGCAAAUCUCAAAAAGCCGUCUCAGUUCGGAUUGGACUCUGCAACUCGAGUCCAUGAAGUUGGAAUCGCUAGUAAUCGUGGAUCAGCAUGCCACGGUGAAUACGUUCCCGGGCCUU
rnacentral:rRNA from 1 species